rnacentral:piRNA from 1 species
UUAAUGUGAGAGACUUAGAAAAAGA